UGUUAGAUAAGCUAAGAAAGCUGUUGGGUUCAUGCCCCAAUGAUAAGAGGUCCUUUCUAAUAA
rnacentral:tRNA from 2 species